rnacentral:lncRNA from 1 species
CUCAGCUCAGCCGCAGUCGGCUCGGAUCAGAAGACCUUGGGUGCCAGGCCAAGCCCAUUCUGAGAGCCUGCUGCCACGCUGUCCUUGGGGGAGCUCCAUCUUCCAGCUGCACAGGCAAGUGUCCCCAACCCAGCGAGGGUGCCUGCUCCGGGCCAGCUUCUGGGGGACGCCCUCCCCUGGUGACCCGCCUCUGCACCCCCACGGCCAAGGAGUUCAGCGCAGCAUCCUUCCCCUACCCCCUGG